rnacentral:rRNA from 1 species
GACGAACGCUGGCGGCGUGCUUAACACAUGCAAGUCGAACGGAAAGGCCCUGCUUUUGUGGGGUGCUCGAGUGGCGAACGGGUGAGUAACACGUGAGUAACCUGCCCUUUACUUUGGGAUAACUUCAGGAAACUGGGGCUAAUACCGGAUAGGAGCUCCUGCUGCAUGGUGGGGGUUGGAAAGUUUCGGCGGUUGGGGAUGGACUCGCGGCUUAUCAGCUUGUUGGUGGGGUAGUGGCUUACCAAGGCUUCGACGGGUAGCCGGCCUGAGAGGGUGACCGGCCACAUUGGGACUGAGAUACGGCCCAGACGCCUACGGGGGGCAGCAGUGAGGAAUAUUGCACAAUGGGCGGGAGCCUGAUGCAGCAACGCCGCGUGCGGGAUGACGGCCUUCGGGUUGUAGACCGCUUUCGCCUGUGACGAAGCGUGGGUGACGGUAAUGGGUAAAGAAGCACCGGCUAACUACGUG